UACUGGUGGUGGUUAACCAUUAGCCGCGAAUAAUGCUAAAGCUAGUGUCGUGUUUGCUAACCCGAAGCACUGUUUCAAAGUUGCUGUUAUUUUGUUUUUGUUUGGACUACAUUUGACCAAAUCCGAUUCAAAAUGUACGACAUUUAUAUUUACAUUUGUCAAACUUGGACUGAAAUAGGACAAUUAACAAUAAUCAAGAAAUAUAUAUGUUUACUCAGCAUGGUAACAACAAAAAAUAAAGAUUGUUCUGAUUAGGACACUUCACAAAAAACUCAAAAAAGUGCUAAAAUAGUCUAAAGUUCUCACAAGCAGCAAUCAACCAAGUUGUGUAAACCAGAUGAUUAAGUUUUGCAUGUUCAGAACAAUUAGUAAGAACAGUCAGAUAAUAACAUAGUUACUUUUGCAGCCCAGGAGAGAAACUGUUUGUUUGCUUCUUGGAGUUUAUACUUGUAGGUUACAUUGAGCAGAAACUCUUUAAAAAUACACACUUUUUGAUUUUUAAACCUUUAUUUUAUUUUUGGAAAAUUUGAACUGUUUCUCCUAUUUCUACAAUCGAGGAAUUAGCAUUUCAAACGCAUAAAAACAAUGUAACAAAUAUUCAAAUUCUGACUAAAUUAUUGCACGCUGACUGCAGAUCUAAAACGCAGCUUGUGGUUUGGAGAAGCUUCUCUGUAUUUUUGAGAAUAAAACAAUAAAGAUUAUUAGUUUUCUCGAAUCGCUGCUAAAGUAUCAUCUUGUCUCGUGAGUUGGACGUGUUGUUACACUGUUAGUUGGAAGGGAUAAAGCCCACUAUAAACAAACACGGCUCCACCAACUCUCGGCGGAGCCGUGUGAUGAAUAGUACCAGUCAAAAAUCACCGCUGACGCUCAUAACCCGAUUUUCACAGGGAAUUUUGCACAACUUCAUUUUGUAGUAACACUAUCCACCUUGUAAAAAUGAACACCCUCUUCUGACAGCACAAGUGAGAAAUGGGAUAGUUUUCCCACUGAGUUCCCAGAUGUAGGAUUGCCAUUGUAUUCACACACCCAGUGUUAGCCCAAGAAGGCACCUUUUAAAAAAGGGCUCAGUCUACGCUUUGCAGAGAAAACAAACCUGUGAUAUGUAAGAGGUGGCAGUGCGAAACCCUCGGUACAAAGUGCUUGUUUACUCUAGAGUAACCCCAAAAGGAACAUUUGAUUUGAAAUUUGACAUCCUCUUCUCGUAUGGCAUUUUAAAACCGUCGUCCCGUUAAAUAUUUGGGUUCCCAUGAUAUGCCUGAUGCUAAGUAAGGCCGUGCGUGUGUGAGAGAGUACGUGUGCCUGCGCGCGUGCGUGUGUGGGGGUGUGUGUGUGUGUGUGUGUGUGUGUGUGUGUGUGUGUGUGUGUGUGUGUGUGUGCAGUACAGCGGAGCAGAGUACAUCUGCAGUGGUAAGGAAACAGUCUGUUAGCAUACAGCUUUGACAACUCCAUCAGGCCCAGUCUCAAGGUAGCUGUCAAUCACAACAAAUCAUCUCAUCCCCGAGCGCUGCGAGGACCUCUCUCCACUACUACACACAUGACAGGCCCCUACAGCUCUAUUUACCCAUGCACACCCUCCCAGCGCCAAUGAUUUUGUAAUUAGAAAACAGCAAAAGAGGAAAGGGAGAAGGGGGCUGCAAGCAAAGUAAGGCGGUAAUAAGUUUUGGAUACAAAGCAAGUGAAUGGCGUCCUUUCACUCGCUACAUUGGCAUUUGAAGAGGGGGUUGGCACUUGCAUAGAAAACGCAAAGGCAUUCUCAUUCACUCUCCCAUUUAGGGAACAAUAUAGGCUUGUGUGUGUGCGUGCGUGUGUGAGUGUAUGUGUUAAGGUGGGGGUGGGAGUGUAAGAGUGUCACAGGCAGACUCGAUUUGCAAGACUCAUUUUCGGCUAAGUAUAAUUAGAUUAAUGUGGCGAUGGCAUAGCUCAAAGCCAGGCCCUCUCCGCUUCCAUCCCAGAGCAUAUGAAUUAGCUACUAAACACAUCUUUAUUCCAGGCAGAUAAAGCGCUGGUGUGAGUGUUUAGCAUAUCCUUUAUGAUGGGGAAAGAUGUUAAUUGUGUCCCAUUACUUCUAAACUGUUUGCUUGUUGUAUUAAUCACUGUGCUAAUUGAUGCAGAAAUAAAAUUGUUGCCACAGGCGCAGAGGGGAGAGAACCAAAGUCGGGGAUGGUGGAUGAAAGAUUAUCGUCGCAAACAUAUGGAGAUGGCUCUGCUUUGAAAGUUUGCUCCAUCUACCCACAAGCACCGCGUGGGCCUGAGUGUUACUCUGCGAACCUCAUCAAAGCCUAAAUGAGCUUGAGGGGUUUUGCUGAAAUGUAUGAGCAACAGCUCCAUCCUCUUCAUGCCUUAAGCUGGUGGAGACUUUCAGCUGAAGUCGCAGUAAAAGCUGGUCAUAGUUGGGAUAGAGGUGCUUUGCCUCCCUGUGCUCUCGGUGCUUUCCUAUUCAAGGUCAAGAUCUGGCAGCCAAAGUGUGGAAAAGCAGCAACGUGCUCAGAUAGAUGUGACUUUGAAGAGGAGGAGUUUAGUAUUGAAUGCUUUCGCCUGUUCGGUUUGGCUAGAACAUCCACAGUUUGGUCUCCUUCACACAUUUCUUCAAGGCUCCCUUUAAUCUCUCCUGGUGCCUCUCAAACCGUGCCUUUGAUGCUGUGAUGCCCUUCUUUCACUCACUCAAUAUUCGAUCUGUCUUACUUCUUACAGCUAAAGCCAGCCGAAGUGUAUUCACAUAGGUCUACCCCCUUGUUUAUCACCAGUUCCUCCCACUCCUUUCCUCCCAUGCUCGCAGAAAUGACCACCUGACUGACUCCGAGGGAUCCGUUUUAUCGGCCGUGUAACGUGAAGUGGAAGUCGGUCUUAAUUGAUAGUAGCAGUCGAUCGUGUCUGUUCUCUACAAAUGGGAGAAACACAAAGACGGGCAAGCACACAUGCUCCACUACGGUGUGUUAAUGAAAGUCAAGUAGCUCGGGUGCUCCCGCCCACCACGUUGAGCCAGAGGUUUACGUAUCAGCUAUCAUUCCCUCCCUGCUCGCACCCACAGAUGAGCCUACGAAAUAGAAACAAGAUCCAAAAUUACUUCUCGUUUACUUUAUCUGGAGACAUGACACAUGUUGUGUGGGAUGGCAGACUUUAUUGUCAGCGGGAAAAAGCGGCGGCUGUAUUUCUUCACGCAUUUACAACAGCUGCCUUACUUUGGAAGAUUUGAUGGAUCGUGCAGUUCGCAGACUACCGUGGUCAGGCUGUUUUUUUGUUUUUUUUUUUGGUAAUAUUGUGCUUUGCAAAAUCCUCUGGAUGAUUUAAGCUUUUUCACAUUGUAUCAGGCUACAACCAGAAACUUCAAUGUGUUCCGGUUAGAUGCUACGUGAUGGACCAACACAAAGUAGAGCAUAAUUGCGAAGUGGGAGCAAAAUGGUUUUGAGAAGUGGCAAAUCUGAAAAGUGCAGUACUUCAGGGUCACGUGAAGCGCUAGUUCUCACAAUCUGUUUUGCAUGAAGUGCAAACUUCUAAUUUUGCUCUUACAAGAACUCCUCACUUCGCAGCCAUGUCCUGCGUUACACUGGUUUAUCAUGCACAAUCCCUUUCAAAUACUAUUGGAGUUUGUGGUUGUAGUGUGACAAGAGUGCAACGAUGUUUGUUUGAUAUGAAUUAUUUUCCAAGGCGCUGUAAUCGCUGGCCAUACUGGUGUGCUCUGCUGCUGAUGUCAGAAAGUGACCCUGUGGCCUGAUGUUGAGUCUUCUCUACGUCAGGAUGGAGAAGAGACGUCCACCAUAUGGCAAUGCCUUCUGCAUCCUUGUCUCGGAAUAAUUACUGGACUGUAUGCAUCACAGCAAUUCAGCUGAAAAAAAUAGCAUUAAAAUAAACAAGAAGACUAAGAUAUGCAACACUA